rnacentral:rRNA from 1 species
CCUACGGGUGGCAGCAGUGGGGAAUAUUGCACAAUGGGCGCAAGCCUGAUGCAGCGACGCCGCGUGGGGGAUGACGGCCUUCGGGUUGUAAACUCCUUUCGUUAGGGACGAAGCCGCACCUGUUUUUGGGUGUGGUGACGGUACCUUUGUUAAGAAGCACCGGCUAACUACGUGCCAGCAGCCGCGGUAAUACGUAGGGUGCGAGCGUUGUCCGGAAUUACUGGGCGUAAAGAGCUCGUAGGUGGUUUGUUGCGUCGUCUGUGAAAUUCCGGGGCUUAACUUCGGGGUGGCAGGCGAUACGGGCAUAACUAGAGUGCUGUAGGGGAGACUGGAAUUCCUGGUGUAGCGGUGGAAUGCGCAGAUAUCAGGAGGAACACCGAUGGCGAAGGCAGGUCUCUGGGCAGUAACUGACGCUGAGGAGCGAAAGCAUGGGGAGCGAACAGGAUUAGAUACCCCUGUAGUC